rnacentral:sRNA from 2 species
CGCCCGUCACACCAUGGGAGCUGGUAAUACCCAAAGUCGGUUUGCUAACCUCGGAGGCGACCGCCUAAGGUAGGACUGGUGACUGGGGUGAAGUCGUAACAAGGUAUCCCUACGAGAACGUGGGGAUGGAUCACCUCCUUUCUACGGAGUACACUUUUGUUAUGGAAAAAAUAUUCGUAUUCAGUUUUGAGAGAUCUAUCUCUCUUUUGUUCUUUGAAAACUGAAUAUCGACAUUGAAAAAUUAAUAUAUUAAUAUUUCAAAGUUUAGAUCAACCUAUAGAAUAUAUCAAAAGACAAACAAUAGGUCAUACAAUAAAACUAUUAAACAAGAUAAGAGUUUUUGGUGGAUGCCUUGGGUCUGGAAGUCGAUGAAGGACGUGAUUACCUGCGAUAAGCCUCGGUUAGCUGGAAAUAAGCUGUUAUCCGGGGAUUUCCGAAUGGGGAAACCUAAUUGAGCUAACCCUCAAUUGUCAUAUCGAUGAAUUCAUAGUCGAAUGAAGAGACACGCUGUGAAUUGAAACAUCUCAGUAGCAGCAGGAAAAGAAAAUAAAGAAUGAUUCCCUUAGUAGUGGCGAGCGAACGGGGAAAAGCCCAAACCAACACUUGUUGUUGGGGUUAUAGGACUAUUUACAUGAAGUUACAAAACUUAAACAUAGCAGAAUAAGUUGGAACGCUUAAACAUAGAGGGUGAAAUUCCCGUAAGCGAAAUGAAUAAGUCUUCUAAUAGUAUCCUGAGUAGGGCGGGGCACGUGAAACCCUGUCUGAAUUUGCCGGGACCACCCGGUAAGGCUAAAUACUAACCAGACACCGAUAGCGAACUA